rnacentral:rRNA from 1 species
AUUGAACGCUGGCGGCAUGCUUUACACAUGCAAGUCGAACGGUAACAGGCCUUCGGGUGCUGACGAGUGGCGAACGGGUGAGUAAUGCAUCGGAACGUGCCCAGAGGUGGGGGAUAACGCAGCGAAAGCUGUGCUAAUACCGCAUGUGAUCUGAGGAUGAAAGCGGGGGACUAAGCAGCAAUGUUUGGCCUCGCGCCUCUGGAGCGGCCGAUGUCAGAUUAGGUAGUUGGUGGGGUAAAAGCCUACCAAGCCGACGAUCUGUAGCUGGUCUGAGAGGACGACCAGCCACACUGGGACUGAGACACGGCCCAGACUCCUACGGGAGGCAGCAGUGGGGAAUUUUGGACAAUGGGCGCAAGCCUGAUCCAGCAAUGCCGCGUGCGGGAAGAAGGCCUUCGGGUUGUAAACCGCUUUUGUACGGAACGAAAAGGCUCUGGCUAAUACCUGGGGCUGAUGACGGUACCGUAAGAAUAAGCACCGGCUAACUACGUG